GACGAACGCUGGCGGCGUGCUUAACACAUGCAAGUCGAGCGGUAAGGCCCCUUCGGGGGUACACGAGCGGCGAACGGGUGAGUAACACGUGAGCAAUCUGCCCAUCACUUCGGGAUAACUCCGGGAAACCGAAGCUAAUACCGAAUACGACCGCCUCCGCCAUCGGGGGUGGUGGAAAGUUCCGGCGGUGAUGGAUGAGCUCGCGGCCUAUCAGCUUGUUGGUGGGGUAACGGCCUACCAAGGCUUCGACGGGUAGCCGGCCUGAGAGGGUGACCGGCCACACUGGGACUGAGACACGGCCCAGACUCCUACGGGAGGCAGCAGUGGGGAAUAUUGGACAAUGGGCGAAAGCCUGAUCCAGCAACGCCGCGUGAGGGAUGACGGCCUUCGGGUUGUAAACCUCUUUCAGCAGGGACGAAGCGCAAGUGACGGUACCUGCAGAAGAAGCACCGGCCAACUACGUGCCAGCCGCCGCCGUAAUAC
rnacentral:rRNA from 1 species